UGAAUGAUGUCCAUUAUGACCAGUUUAGUUUUGAUUUUCAUAGUGGAGAGCAAACAAAGAAAUUGUCAAGUUGUUUAGAGCGGUUUUUGGUGAACAAAGAAUUUUUUUUAUUUGCAAGAAACGUACAAUAUGUCAAAGGACACAUCAUCGAAAGGAACAGGAGGUUCAGGAAGUGGCGGUGGCGGUUGUCCAUGGAGUGGUGGUGGUUCUGGAGGCGGACAAAAAUGUCCGAAAACAGGAGCUGUAGGAACAAAGGCUCAGUGCACCGGAUGCAACAACUCCGGUAGUAAAUCGGGAAAAUCUUCUAAAUAAAUUGCGCAACAAAAUAAUUUGAAAAAAAAAAGUAUUCCAGCAAUUUAUCGUCUCAGUAUUAGAACGAUGGCUUCACAUGAAAUACAUGGAUUCUGUUAAAAUUAAAAAG